GAAGAUAUAGCUCAGUGAUAAAGUGCUUUUCUGGCAUGUAUGAGGCCUUGGGUUCAAAUCCCAGCACCCUCA
rnacentral:tRNA from 1 species